AAAAUAAGGAGAGAUGGUUCUUUUGUUAUCGAGAUUUAAGAUGACCAUCGGUUAACACUCUUUAAGGAUGUAUUUUGACCAUAUUUUCUAUUCAAGUGGCUUACAGAACUAUUCUGAAGCAAUUAUCCAAUUUUACAAGAUGAUUCAGAGGAGCUUAAAAAUACCCCAGUGCAAGCCAGUAUCUUUGUUGCUGCCUUACUAUUGUUAUAUGAGUUACAUGCUAAUGGAAAAAUAUACUUCCGGAUCUAGCUUUUGUUUUUGGGGGCUACUCUUGAACAUUUGCUAGGUUUAAACAACAUCACUUCCACCUAUGAUCAUCUACAUUGUUCAUCUGUCAGCAUAAAAUGUAAGAGCAGAUGAAAAGCAAGAAGCCAUGUACAGGCUGGGGCCACAUCUAUCCAUUAAUUCAAGUGCACUGUCAGUUAGGACCCAAACUUACUACUGACACCUUCUCUUGCUGUCUCCUCUGUUUGUUGAUUAUUCUGGAGAUGGCAUCAGAGUUGGGAGCCUCAGCAUGCAUACUUUGUCCAAGCCCAACCACGUGCCUGCGCUUCAUGCGUGACAGCUGAACAAGAGCUAAGUGAAAAAACUGUUGAGCAUGAAAAAUGUGGAGGAGU